AUUUACUUGUAAAUUGAAAGACCCCUGAAGUGGGGAGACCCUCACUCAAGUCUCGGGAUGAUGCGACCCCUCAAGAACUCACAAGAGACU
rnacentral:pre_miRNA from 14 species